rnacentral:hammerhead_ribozyme from 1 species
AUCCAGCUGGCGAGUCCCAAAUAGGACGAAAUUUGCGUCCUGGAU